UCCACGACUCACUGGUUUUUGUAACUGUGUGUGCUGCUCAAAUCUAAUUAUUCUUUCUCUUUCUGUGAGCAAAAGACAGUCCUGUGCAGAGCUAGCCUUGUAGCUGUUGAUUUUUUCGCUUCACUUUUUGUUGUUUUUUUUUCUCUAAGUUUAUUUGUGGUGGCAAGCAACAACUGGCUCAGAGCAAGCCAUUUUGAUCCUUUUGUUGAAAAUCUGUGUAGCAGCAUCUACCUGCAGAUUCAGAAGCUGAUUGCCCAGGACUGUGUUGGGAGCUGCAUCCACUGUUGUGCUCAGGGCAUAUGGGCAACGCCUGCACACUGCACCGGUAUCUUUCUCUGGGUUCAUUAGCACAGUAACCCAUAUAAAUCAACUGUGGACCGAGGCAAGGCAACCUUAUAAUCCAAGGCAUAUCACAGUCAAACAUCAGACGACACCCUGGUUUUGUGCACAGUGGGAGGUUUCUUUUAAACCUGGAUUGAAAGGUGCUCCAGUACAGCUGCUGUGCCUGAGCGUGCCUCUUAGGAAUGAACAGUCCACUCUGCAUGGUGAUCAAAUUGGGACUCGGUGUUGGAAUCCUCAUUACUCUUGGAUAGCUGCCAGUGUAACUGGAGAGCCACUGCAACUGAGGGUUGGAGUGAUGGAAAUCAGAUGGAUGGAAAAAGGACCACAGCGAAAAAGGAAUUAUUAAAAUUGGAAACCUCAGAAAAGCCAUUGAUGGGGCCUAGCCUUGUGAUACAAGGCUUCUUCAAUCAAUCUGUUCAAAACUUCUCUGUUUCCAAAUGGUUGAGGAUCAUGCAGUAUCUUUAGAUUCUCAUAUUGCUUCCUUCUUUAAGACUCUCUUCGGUGACGGGUAUUCUUGGGUGGAUAAUACGGAUUACGUUGUUAUUGCUUAAGAAUACGCGUAGUCGAGGAGAGUACAUCUUCAGCGACUUCAAGGAACUUGAAGCCAAUGAUCCUAAAGUGCCGGGCUGCCUGGUUUCUUUAUAUUGUGGGCAAUUAUGCAGAUAUAUUUAAACUUGAUGCUGUGGUCCAUUUAUUAAGUAACCAGACAGAUUAUAAUUAAAACAUUUAUUUCUAUUAUGACUGUACUGUCAAGGACAUUGUAGUCUCUACUUAGCAACGUGGAAAAUUAAGUAUAGUAUUUUUAUAUUUUUUUAUUAUUUAAACUCUCUCGCUUAUGACAUUUAUUUUUUAAAUGUGAUCAGAAUUUUUUAGGAUUACAGCUUUUUUGUAUUUAUGUUAAACUCACUGCUGUGAUUGUACCAUAUUGCUCUUUUUUGAAAAUAUAUGCUAAUUAAAAGCAUUGCACUUUCAACUAUUUUUUCUAUUGUCUAUUCUACAUUUGAAAUAAGCACUACAUCUAUGAAUUACAACGAAUACUGAAAAUGUGGAGACAACAUUACAUAGUGAAAUGGCUGAAGUUUGUAAGAGAGAUAAAUGUUAUUUUAAGUAACAGCCCACAUAUAACCAACCUCCUUUACAUGUUUGAGCAAAUUGAUUUUGAAAAUUGAUUGAUUGUCCUGAAAUCUGACUGUAGAGAUUGCUGCAUCACAAGGGCCAGGAAAGAAAAUGCCCACCAUACUAGCAACAGCUCAAUUUUUGCUAUGAUAAAGCAAAAAUGUAAUGCAAAAAAAAAGAACAAAAUGGAUCUAAUACUCACUGCAUUGAGUAGUUCUUCCCUUUUCAGUGGUAACAUUAGAAGGCUUAUUUUCAUUAAACUCAUUCCUGCAAUUUAAAAACAGAAAAAUUAGAACAGGACGCAAAAAUAAGUGAUAUGAAUGGGUAGGCUUUAUUCCUGAAAAGCAUCCAAACAAAAUUCUACAACUUUUUUAAUAGUUCAUAUAAACAAAAGUAAUCACACUCAUUUAAAAAUAUAUAUAUUUUCUAAAUAAAAGCAACUGUUUUGUCACACAAACAUAGAUAACAAAUGGCCUUUUACUUAUGAAAAUAAUUUAUUUCGUUACUGUAAUCAGACUAAUUUUUACCAUUAUAGAGUUCCAUUUAUGUUGCAUUAAUAAUAUUGAAUAUCAGUUUAGAAUUUACUGGCAGUUCUGAAUUGAGUGGCAGAUGUUUUUGUGCUUGUAUACUUCCAUAUCAGCUCCAUUCUAUUAAACACUAUGAACCAAUUCUGUGAAAAAAAUCAUUUUUCUUUUUAAAUAAAUUUAUUUA